rnacentral:misc_RNA from 1 species
GAGCUCAUGCCCGUCGGGGUAGAUCUCCACCCUUGCAUACCUUACCUUUGUUGCUUUGGCGGCCCGUCUCGCUCCCGAGCCACCGGCCCCGGCUGGUGCGUGGCCGCCAGAGGACCAUCAACCCUCUCAUCAGCGUCGUCUGAGUACCAUAUAUAAUAUAUUAAAACUUUCAACAACGGAUCUCUUGGUUCU